rnacentral:rRNA from 1 species
UACAGAGGGUGCAAGCGUUGUUCGGAAUUAUUGGGCGUAAAGCGCGUGUAGGCGGCUUUGCAAGUCGGGUGUGAAAGCCCUCAGCUUAACUGAGGAAGUGCGCCCGAAACUGCAGAGCUUGAGUACCGGAGAGGAUGGCGGAAUUCCCCAAGUAGAGGUGAAAUUCGUAGAUAUGGGGGAGGAACACCGGUGGCGAAGGCGGCCAUCUGGACGGAUACUGACGCUGAGACGCGAAAGCGUGGGUAGCAAACAGG